UACGAAGGGUGCAAGCGUUACUCGGAAUUACUGGGCGUAAAGCGUGCGUAGGUGGUUCGUUAAGUCUGAUGUGAAAGCCCUGGACUCAACCUGGGAAUUGCAUUGGAUACUGGCGAGCUAGAGUGCGGUAGAGGGUAGUGGAAUUCCCGGUGUAGCAGUGAAAUGCGUAGAGAUCGGGAGGAACAUCUGUGGCGAAGGCGACUACCUGGACCAGCACUGACACUGAGGCACGAAAGCGUGGGGAGCAAACAGG
rnacentral:rRNA from 1 species